rnacentral:rRNA from 1 species
UACGGAGGAUGCAAGCGUUAUCCGGAAUGAUUGGGCGUAAAGCGUCCGCAGGUGGCAAUGUAAGUCUGCUGUUAAAGAGUGAGGCUCAACCUCAUAAGAGCAGUGGAAACUACAUAGCUAGAGUGCGUUCGGGGCAAAGGGAAUUCCUGGUGUAGCGGUGAAAUGCGUAGAGAUCAGGAAGAACACCGGUGGCGAAAGCGCUUUGCUAGGCCGCAACUGACACCGAGGGACGAAAGCUAGGGGAGCGAAUGGG